UGAUUAGAGUUUGGUUUAGAAUUCGGUCUAGGAUUUGAUUAGGAUUAAGAUUUGUUUAGAAUUUGGUUUAGAAUUUGUUAAAGAUUCAUCUAAGAUUUGUUUAGGAUUUAGGAUUUUUAUUAGGAAUUCAUUAAGAUUUGACCUGAGAUUUGAUUAAGAUUCAAUUAGGAUUUCAAUUAGGAUUUGAUGUAAGAUUUGGUUAAGAUUUAAUUAGGAUUUCAAUUAAGAUUACUAUAAAUUUUAUAUUUUUAAUAUUUCUUUAGAAUUCUUUUUAUUUUUUGUGACUUAUUUUAAGAGU
rnacentral:lncRNA from 1 species